ACUCCUACGGGAGGCAGCAGUGGGGAAUUUUCCGCAAUGGACGAAAGUCUGACGGAGCGACGCUGCGUGAAGGAUGAAGGCCCGUGGGUUGUAAACUUCUUUUCUCGAAGAAGAAAAAAAUGACGGUAUUCGAGGAAUAAGCAUCGGCUAACUCUGUGCCAGCAGCCGCGGUAAGACAGAGGAUGCAAGUGUUAUUCGGAAUGAUUGGGCGUAAAGAGUCUGUAGGCGGUUUAGAAAGUCUUUUGUGAAAUACUUCAGCUCAACUGAGGCUCCGCAAAAGAAACUUCUAGACUUGAGGAAAGUAGAGGUACAGGGAAUUUCCGGUGGAGCGGUGAAAUGCGUAGAUAUCGGAAGGAACACCAAUAUGGCGAAGGCACUGUACUGGGCUUUUCCUGACGCUCAGAGACGAAAGCUGAAGGAGUGAUUAGGAUUAGAUACCCUAGUAAUUUCAGCCGUAAACGAUGAAAACUCACUGUCGAGCCAAUAUAUGGAGCGGUGGUCAAGCUAACGCGUGAAGUUUUCCGCCUGGGGAUUACGCUUGCAAAAGUGAAACUCAAAGGAAUUGACGGGGACCCGCACAAGCGGUGGAGUAUGUGGUUUAAUUCGAUGCAACGCGAAAAACCUUACCAGGGUUUGAAAUAAUUUCAAAACUUCUUGAAAGAGAAGCCUCCUUCGGGAUGGAAUUACAGGUGGUGCAUGGCUGUCGUCAGCUCGUGUUGUGAAAUGUCAAGUUAAGUCUUGUAACGAGCGCAACCCAUGUCUCUUGUUGCUGUUUACAGUGCUUAAGAGAAACUGCCGAUCAACAUCGGAGGAAGGUGUGGAUGAUGUCAAGUCAGCAUGCCCCUUACAUCCUGGGCUACACACGUACUACAAUGGUCGAGACAAAGGGUCGCUAACCUGCGAAGGUAUGCCAAUCUCAUAAACUCGAUCUCAGUUCGGAUUGUACUCUGCAACUCGAGUACAUGAAGGUGGAAUCGCUAGUAAUCGCUGGUCAGCAUACAGCGGUGAAUACGUUCCCGGGUCUUGUACACACUGCCCGUCACACCAUGGAAGUCGACCCUUCCCUAAGUCGUUACUCGAACCUGUAAAGGACGAGGACGCCGAAGGCAGAGUUGGUGACUAGGGUGAAGUCGUAACAAGGUAGCCGUACUGGAAGGUGUGGCUG
rnacentral:rRNA from 1 species